rnacentral:rRNA from 1 species
UUCAAAAGCUUCAAUAUUGGCCACAGCCCAAGACCGGUUACUCACUGAAGCUAAACAGAUUGAGCCUGGUCAGUACCUGGAUGGGAGAUCACAUGGAAAAACUAGGUUGCUGUUGGAC